rnacentral:rRNA from 1 species
GGAAUAUUGCACAAUGGGGGAAACCCUGAUGCAGCGACGCCGCGUGAGUGAAGAAGUAUCUCGGUACGUAAAGCUCUAUCAGCAGGGAAGAAAAUGACGGUACCUGAUUAAGAAGCACCGGCUAACUACGUGCCAGCAGCCGCGGUAAUACGUCGGGGGCAAGCGUUAUCCGGAUUUACUGGGUGGAAAGGGAGCGUAGACGGCAGCGCAAGUCUGGAGUGAAAUGCCGGGGCACAACCCCGGAACUGCUUUGGAAACUGUGCAGCUCGAGUGCAGGAGAGGUAAGCGGAAUUCCUAGUGUAGCGGUGAAAUGCGUAGAUAUUAGGAGGAACGCCAGUGGCGAAGGCGGCUUACUGGACCGUAACUGACGUUGAGGCUCGAAAGCGUGGGGAGCA